rnacentral:rRNA from 1 species
AACGAACGCUGGCGGCACGCCUAACACAUGCAAGUCGAACGAAGCUUAGGAGCUUGCUCCUAAGACUGAGUGGCAAACGGGUGAGUAACGCGUGGGAAUCUACCUUUCGGAGGGGGACAACUCUGGGAAACCGGAGCUAAUACCGCAUACGCCCUUAUGGGGAAAACUUUUGUGCCGAAAGAUGAGCCCGCGUUAGAUUAGUUAGUUGGUAAGGUAAAAGCUUACCAAGACGAUGAUCUAUAGCUGGUCUGAGAGGAUGAUCAGCCACACUGGGACUGAGACACGGCCCAG